CACUCUCUCCCGUCCAGCUGGUGGCGGUAAAUGCAGCGCUUGAGCUGGUUUGCCAUUCGCCAUAAAACAUCUAAAGAAAACGACGUCACUGUCGGCCACGCGCCGCUUGCGCGUUCUUUCUGUCUCGAGGGCGCGAUGUGCACGGCAGCAGAUGCGUAUCUCCUGCAGGUCACUCACAUUGCUUGUGUAGUCCGGUGACAUCACUUCCUGUGCGUGUGUCAUCACUUCCUGUGCGUGUGUCAUCACUUCCUCUGCAGGACUGACUGAAGAUCCCACACAUGUGCAGCAUGACAUCGGCUAAACAUGCAGUAAACUCUACAUAUUUGAUGAAGAAUGUUGCUGUUUUGUUGUGUUUGGGACAGAUCAUGUGAAAUCGAGCGCUCAACCCAAGGAUGUGAUCACAUGACUCCUCAUCCUCUUGUCUUUACGUUUCCAUAGAUGUUUGAGGGAAUCAUGGGAAAUGUCCUCCUCCUAUCAGCCUGACCAGUGUUCACGUGUGGCCUGUAGAGCAUCAUGAGAGAAAGUGAAGCACAUGAUUGCGGCUGUAGAUCUCCUGCAGGUCACUCACAUUGCUUGUGUAGUCCGGUGACAUCACUUCCUGUGCGUGUGUCAUCACUUCCUCUGCAGGUGAGCAGCUAUAAACCGAAGGUCUCGUUCUAUUCUACACUGGUGUGUUUGUACUCCGAUGAAGCGAGACUAGAGUCACGUCUUGAUAUUGUGAUUAUCCUGGUGUGCUUAAGUCCUCGCAGAAUAAACUCUCUGCUUAUUCAUUGGCUGCUGCUUCUCAUUGCCCGGCCAAUCACCAGCUCAGAAACAUGUUUUACACGUCUGUUCAGAGUUUGAAGACAUUAAUACAUGACAUGACCUUCCGCUGAUUCUAGAAAAACAAUAUUUCACAAAUCUUCAUGAAGGAUUUGCAUCUGAAGACACCAAACAUCAACCAUGUAAUGUGUAUGCAGGGUUCGGGAGGAACCCUGUUACUGUAAUUUUACUAAGUAAAGUUUUCUAUCCAGAUUACAAUUGUUUCAAAACUGAAGUUGUUUUAAAGUGUGUUUGAGUUGUGCAACCAAUUUCUAUAUACAAUGUUAUAUUGCUUCUCUGCUUGUUUUGUGUACAUUGCCUAUAAAAAUAAGUAUGUUUACAAUGUAUUGUGUUAAUUGACAUUAAUAGUCAAUAAUCAAACAUAAUCGUUUCGUUUUAAUCUAGCAGCAAGUUCCUGUUUAUCUCAAUUUCAUCUGAUAUUCUGUCACCAAGACUGUUUUGACGCCGCCUCGCUUCUGUGUGGAUGAAAAAUCAUGUAAUUUACAUGUGACUCUUAAAGUAAUCGGAAUACAUUACUUUUAUAGUGUGAUACUUAAUCAGUAACAUAAUUUGUAACUGUACUGGAAUGUUUUUUUUUUUAAAUAAUCCUCCCAACCCUGUGUAUAUAUCUGUGGAAUAGUGCAGUGAUUUAUAUUUUUGACUAUUGAAAUAAUCUCGAAAAACUAUUGAACAACGGUCUCAUUUUUAAAUAAUCUUCAAUAAAAGCUACAGCAAGAGCUGUUUUAGACCCCAAA